rnacentral:rRNA from 1 species
GACGAACGCUGGCGGCGUGCUUAACACGUGCAAGUCGAACGGUAAGGCCCUUCGGGGUACACGAGUGGCGAACGGGUGAGUAACACGUGGGUGAUCUGCCCUGCACUUCGGGAUAAGCCUGGGAAACUGGGUCUAAUACCGGAUAGGACUCCGGACUGCAUGGUCUGGGGUGGAAAGCUUUUGCGGUGUGGGAUGGGCCCGCGGCCUAGCAGCUUGUUGGGAGGGUGAUGGCCUACCAAGGCGGCGACGGGUCGGCGGCCUGAGGGGGGGACCGGCCACACUGGGACUGAGCUACGGCCCAGACGCCUACGGGAGGCAGCAGUGGGGAAUAUUGCACAAUGGGCUCAAGCCUGAUGCAGCGUCGCCGCGUGAGGGAUGACGGCCUUCGGGUUGUAAACCUCUUUCAGCACAGACGAAGCGAAAGUGACGGUAUGUGCAGAAAAAGGACCGGCCAACUACGUGCCAGCCGCCGCCGUAA